CCUGAGAGGCAGAGGUUGCGGUGAGCUGAAAUUGUGCCACUGCAUCCCAACCUGUGUGACAGAGUGAGAAUCUGUCUCAAAAAGAAUGCAUCCAAGUUUUAAAAUUGUUUAUUUGAAGAUCAGAAAUGCAAGUGUGGACUCUUGGGAUUUUUUUUAAUUAAUAAAAUAUGUUUAAGUAUGGCUUGCUGAGUAUUCAGAAAUAUAAAUCUUUAGCUAUAGCCCUACAAACUUAAUCAGCUCCAUUCACUCAUGAGUUUAGUGCUACUUAUUAAUUUUGAUUAAAUAAUUAGAUUAUUUAAAUAGAGCAAACAGCUGCUGAAUUUUUAUAGUAUUUUUGGACACUGCACAAUUUGUACACAUCAUCACAACUCUUUCCUUUAGUCACCCAGCUAAUAGUGAUUUUUUAUUAUUGAUUAGAUGCCAUUUUAUAUUAAUUGAAAAGCACAUUAAGAAGUACUGUCUUUUGAAUCAUAAUUGAUAUAUGAUGUCUCAGGUUCUUUUACAUGAAAAAAUUUUCCACGUGAGCAAUGUUUUAAUGUUUAAAGAUAUGUAUUUUGCUAAAUCUCCGUGUGUUACUUUUCUGCCUCAACUUUCUAGGUUAAGGGAGGUGUACCAAAGUCAUAGUGUUGAUCCUUUAUUACAGAUAAGGAAGAAGACCUGCAAAAUCCACAGCCACACUUCCAUGGGUGAUGCCAUAUUAGCUGGUAUUUUUUUUUUUUUACCAUAUAUAUUCGAAAACUAAAAACCAAAACAGUUUAAUUAUCUGAGGCAAUUUUUCAGUGUUCUCACCAAAUUUUUUAUUCCUUACAAGACAAGUGGUGAGACUAUAUUUGUUCUUGUGUACUAGUUAAUUAAUUACACUACUUUAUGUAUGGGAGGGUGCUGUGAGGAAAUACAUGGUUUGUUGAAAAGAACUGAGGACUGGCAGCCUCCUCGCCUCCUUCAUGGCUACCCUGGCUCUCUGUCCGUCCCUUCUCAUGGUGCCUGUGGGACCAUGGCUGAUCCUGGCCUGAGACAAAUUAAGACUCCUGUGGUGAAGCAACUGGUCAAAGAAAAAGUGCUAAAAGAAAAAGAAAAACUGAUAUAUGAAAAAGAAGGAAAACAACAAGAAGGAAAGAAAAAAUGAGAGCUGAAGAUGAUGAAAAUUAUGCCAUUAAAAAACAGGCAGAAAUCCUGCUAGAAUCCCAGAUGAUAAGCUUGAUUGCCAGCACAGGUUGGAAGCUGCAUAUACCAUUCUUUGGCAGAUGUUAGAAAGUGAAAAAGACUUGGAAGAAGCUGAGGAAUAUAAAGAAUACUUAGUACUGGAUUCAGUGAAGUUAGAAGCCUGAAACUUUUCUGUACAGGAUGUUUUUUGCAUUAAAUCCUGGGGUCCAGUUUACAUUUAAUUUUUGACCAUUGCUGUGUCUUCAGGUGGGAUAAUGUGAUUCUUUUUAUGUGGUUGUAUACAUUUCUGUGCCUGAUUUAAUAUGUCAAAUAAAUGACAAAACCGAGAACUGAGUGGAUACUAGAAGGAACAGAAAAGUAUGAAGUUUGUUUACCUAUUUGUAUUUGAGAACAUUACAUAUUAAUGUUCUCAUUAAAGUUACUUGUAAUAAAAGAGGCUUUUACUUACACUUAACCUGUGCGUGUGUGAGAUAUUUGACCAAGAGGUAUUUAGUGUCCUGUUUUGCAUAAUAAUAUAAACUCAAUAUAUAGUUGCUUUUUUUUUCUGGUAGUGGAAUUUUUCUGUGUGUCUGGGAGGAAAGGUGAGGUGUACCAUUCAUGCGUUUUUUACUAGUUUAUUGGCAGUGACAUGGCAUUGGCAGGAUGAGCAAAAGUAUUGAGCCUGAAGCUGUAGUGCAGAGCACAAUGUAUAUUAUAGGGUUAUGUUGCCUAGAAAGAAUCUUUGUAACCAUAUAAUUUAUUCAGUCCUGGACACCUUUGAGAGUGAAUGCGAGUUCUAGUAACAAUUAUACUGAUACAACAAACAGGUAGAAUUAGGACAUGUGGUAUUUGUAGCUGUAAACCAUGGUAGUCCUGGAUUUAAAUGACAUGUUUAUUUUUCUAGGGCUUGGUUUUUUAUCUGAAGAGUGGAGACAAUAAUAGUUGUUUCAUAGGGAUUGUGAAGAUUGACUAUAUUGAGAUGAUUUAUGAUAUAUUGAGAUAAUACAUAUGAAAAUAUGUAGCACAUGGCCUGAUAGUCACUGCUUGGUAAAUGCUACCUAUCAAGUAAAAACUCAUAGUUUGGAUGAGGUGUGAGCUUGUCAAAAUCAGAAAGCACCCGCCUUUUCUGUUCUUACUAUGCCUAUCCUGCCCAUUGUUUCAUACCUUUAUUUAAUAUAGUGCCUUCAAUUUACUGGAAUAUUGUGUUAGUACCUUGUAGAAAUAAUUGCAGCUGUCUUUGCCAUAUGUAGCAUUUACAUUUCUAAUAUGGACACAGAUGGUCUUUCCAAUUCAGCUACAGAAAGUGAAGCAAGGAAGGGGGAAUACAAGGAAGUGCUAGUAGAUAUGGCUUACCAAUCACAUUGUUAUUCAUUAUUUGGUGCUGUAGCCUUGAGUGUACACAUUUAUUUUGUGUCAUCAGGAAGGGGGAGAGUGUUGGUAUCAGAAUUAUUUGGGUGUGGUAACAGUCAUCUGGGUAGUUAUUUCUAAGUUAAUCACUAGUUCUUUCUCUUUUCAUAUCCACGCUUAACUGUGUGUAUGAUUGGGGGUGGGGUGAAUGUGGGGAAGGUCUGGUGUCUGGUGUAAGGAUUUGAGGGUAGAUAGGAGAAGUUAAUGAGCCAGGACAGUAAUUCAGAGAACAUAGUCCAGGCAGUUUAGGUUACCACUUACGCUUUAGUAUAUUACUGGGAUAUGAAUGUUAGUGAUUUAUCUUCUAUUGUUCUUAAAAUAUUUUCUUCAUCUUAAAAUUUAAAGGACUAGCCAAACCUCCUCCAGAGUUUGAAGUCUGGUUCAGUAUGCUACAUUUACUCAGCUCUUAGUAAACUUUUUCUUUUUUUUAAUAAUUUUUUUUUUUUUUUUUUUUUAAUAAAGACGGGGUUUCACCGUGUUGGUCAGGCUGGUCUUGAACUCCCGACCUCAGGUGAUCCGCCCGCCUUAGCCUCCAAAGUGCUUGGAUUACAGGCGUGAGCCACCACACCCAGCUAGUAAACUUUUAAAUUAAAAUCAUCUCAAGUACUGAUUGCUAAUGAUAGCUGACAGUUAUUGAUCACUUAAGUGCCAAAUUCUUGGAUUGUUGCUGAAAACCCACACAGCACUUUUACAAGUGAAGAAACUGCUCCUUAAGGGGUUUUAAGGGCUUACCCUAAGGAUCACUUAAACAAUCCCUAUUCUUUGAAAAUUUUCUCCUAUCAUGCAUACUUACAGGACUCAUCAAACAGGGAUUAGAGGUGAAUCCAGGCUGUGUUGUUGAGCUUUGGCUUUUACCCAUUUUGUAGUAUUGCCUCCUAGUGCAUCAGAGAUUGGUAAACCUGGGAUUGCUCUUUCUAUUAUCAGAGAAAAACUGUAGUAGUGAAGUCCCCGCCUGGUAUAUACAGACUGUCAGUUGCAGCAUUAUUUGGAAGCACAAAAGAUGGUAUGUGAAUAAAUGUGCUGAUGUAGAAUUUCUUUCUUCCUCUAGCCCCUUUUUUGUGCCUUAUUUUGAUACUUGAUUUCAAUGUCCUUAAUGCUGUUGCUUGGUAAUAAAUAGUUCAGCUCAAUGGUACAUUGUAGCCAUUCAUUAAUUCAUUGAGGCCAAGAGUAUGGGGAAUGAGGCAAGGAUAUGAUGCCUUCAGUACAGAAAAGGGGAAAUACGGUAUCUGGGAGUAGCUUUAAAGUAAGAAAGGUAGGUUUCCUCACUUGAAUGUUACUUUAAAAUGACUUUAUAUUGUCAUAAAUCAUUAUUGUUCUGGGAGGAAUAUCUAUCUCUACAUAUAUCAGAAAGAAUGUAGGAAGGAAGAAAGUGAUAAAUAUAAUUUAAAAAAAUUUCUUUCUAAAAUCAUAUAACAACUCAUCAUAGUGUCUGGCCAUACAGUUUGCUGUGAAUGAAUGAAUGGAAAGCCAGGUAACCAUACAGUUAAAAUUUUUAGCUACUUUUAAAAAAAUCAAUUCUUAUUUUGUUUUUCCCAUGUACCAGACACUUUAAAUGCUUUUAUUUUUUAAUUCAUUUAAUCCCUAGUUAUCCUUGGAGAUAAAUGUCACAGUGCCCAUUUUAAGAUGAGGAAAUUGAGGCCACGGAAGUUACUUGCUCUGAAUUUUACAACUGUGAAUAGCAGAGCUGGGAUUCCAACAUGGGUAACAUGGUUCUAGAGGGUGUGAUUUGAAUUAUUGCAUCUCAUAUUCUGGUGACAAACUGGUUUGUGUUUGUUUUUUAAUUUUAAUUUAAUUUUUUAGAGACAGCGUCUUACUGUGUUGCCCAGGCUGGAGUGCAGUGGUGCUAUCAUAGCUCACUACAG